rnacentral:piRNA from 1 species
UCAGUGACUUGGGAUGAUGCUACC